CCUACGGGCGGCAGCAGUGGGGAAUAUUGCACAAUGGGGGAAACCCUGAUGCAGCGACGCCGCGUGAGUGAAGAAGUAUUUCGGUAUGUAAAGCUCUAUCAGCAGGGAAGAAAAUGACGGUACCUGAUUAAGAAGUCCCGGCUAACUACGUGCCAGCCGCCGCGGUAAUACGUAGGGGGCAAGCGUUAUCCGGAUUUACUGGGUGUAAAGGGAGCGUAGACGGCAGCACAAGUCUGGAGUGAAAUGCCGGGGCUUAACCCCGGAACUGCUUUGGAAACUGUGCAGCUAGAGUGCAGGAGAGGGAAGUGGAAGUCCUAGGGGAGCGGUGAAAGGCGGAGAUAUUAGGAGGAACACCAGGGGGGAAGGCGGCCUACUGGACUGGAACUGACGUUGAGGCUCGAAAGCGUGGGGAGCAAACAGGAUUAGAUACCCUUGUAGUC
rnacentral:rRNA from 1 species